AUGCGUAGGUGGCAAGCGUUGUCCGGAAUUAUUGGGCGUAAAGCGCAUGUAGGCGGUGCCUUAAGUCUGUCGUGAAACUGCGGGGCCUAACCCCGUAUGGCGAUGGAAACUGUGGCACUUGAGUGCAGGAGAGGAAAGGGGAACUCCCAGCGUAGCGGUGAAAUGCGUAGAUAUUGGGAAGAACACCGGGGGCGAAGGCGCCGUUCUGGACUGUGUCUGAAGCUGAGAUGCGAAAGCCAGGGUAGCGAACGGGAUUAGAGACCCCGGUAGUCCUGGCCGUAAACGAUGGGUACGAGGUGUGGGGGGUAUCGACCCCUUCCGUGCCGGAGUUAACGCAAUAAGUACCCCGCCUGGGGAGUACGGCCGCAAGGCUUAAACUCAAAUGAAUUGACGGGG
rnacentral:rRNA from 1 species